AGAGUGCCUUCGGGAACGCAUGGACAGGUGCUGCAUGGCUGUCGUCAGCUCGUGUCGUGAGAUGUUGGGUUAAGUCCCGCAACGAGCGCAACCCUUGUCCUCAGUUGCCAGCACUUCGGGUGGGAACUCUGGGGAGACUGCCGGUGAUAAACCGGAGGAAGGUGGGGACGACGCCAAGUCAUCAUGGCCCUUACGGCCAGGGCUACACACGUGCUACAAUGGUGCAUACAAACGGAAGCGAAGUCGCGAGGCGAAGCCAAUCUGAUAAAAUGCAUCGUAGUCCGGAUUGGAGUCUGCAACUCGACUCCAUGAAGUCGGAAUCGCUAGUAAUCGUGAAUCAGAAUAUCACGGUGAAUACGUUCCCGGGCCUU
rnacentral:rRNA from 1 species